UUCAGAGGGCAAUUAAGAGUCAACUUACAGAUCUGGAGUCAGAGGUGAGACCAGACUGGAACAUAUUCACUGUGCAGUGAACUCCAACUAGCCUCAUGCUACAGAUAUUACUCACUUGCCAGAGGUCUAAGCUAACAGAAAAUCUGAUUACAGGAAGAUGGGAAACAAAGGAAAAGAAAACCAAG